AGGGACCAAAAAAAAUCUCUCGCAUGAGAAGGAACGGGCGCGUCGCGCCACUCCUCGCUCAUGGCGUCCUCCACUCUGCCAGCCUUCCCCUUCCGUCCGUCUCUUCCCGGACUUACGUCCCCGGAUCCUGCUAAGCUUAACCACGUAUCUGUUUGAAGACCCGUUCGCCGUCUUCCCGUUGCGGCCUCCGCGGCACCGUCGGGCGCCGCCGCCGCGGCGACGGAGCGCAAGCGCUUCCGGGAGCGCUACGGGCUCAACCCAGACGACUUCGAGGAAGAUGCAGAGGAGGAUCCAAGGGAAGAGAGCAGGGACAGGCGGAGCCGCGGAGACAGCAGCAGUCUGGGAGAGGGGAGCAAACUGUGGAAGCUGCAGUUACUCCAGCGAAGGUGGCGGAGCCUCGGGAGACUCACAAAUCACAAUCAAUACGUAAUGCAGUUACUUCAGGUUUGGACAGAAACCGUUCCUUUGUUUUGGUCGUGUAAUGUCAGAGCAAUUAUAUCGAUCUAUUACUCUUCUGAAUCACACAAAAAUACGAUUCCGUUUAGUGCAA